rnacentral:rRNA from 1 species
UACGUAGGCAGCAAGCGUUGUUCGGAGUUACUGGGCGUAAAGAGUGUGUAGGCGGUGCUCUAAGUUCGGUGUGAAAUCUCCCGGCUCAACUGGGAGGGUGCGCCGGAAACUGGAAUGCUUGAGCGUGGGAGAGGAAAGCGGAAUUCCUGGUGUAGCGGUGAAAUGCGUAGAUAUCAGGAGGAACACCUGCGGUGUAGACGGCUUUCUGGACCAUUGCUGACGCUGAGACACGAAAGCGUGGGUAGCAAACAGG